GUUCUCCUGGUAUGUGAAAGCUUUUCGGUUGGGUGCAAGAAGAAGGUCACGAUGCCUCAAUUUGUUCCGGCUAAAGAUGAUAGCAAGCUUGUGCUUCAAUACCCAAUAAAAUUUUUGAGGUCGGGUCCAAUUGAGACUCGAGAAGCUGUGUUGAGGUUGCCUCCAUUUUCGCUACUCCUAGGUCAUCAGGAAGCUUGACAUCAAUAUGGGGUGAAAUGCUAUUACUUUUACUACAGUUAUUGGUUUACUAGUUGAAUGUUCAAUGCUUCCAUUGAGAUUAUGUGGCUCAAGAUUUGUUAUUUCUAAUGCAAUGUGAUUUUGAUUUGUGGGCAAUCUUUAGAGGGCAUUGAACUAGUUUAUGUGUAAGUUGAUGAAAGUUGCAAUGGAGGUCUGAGUUUUAUCUAGAAUCAUGUUCAACAUUGUUUGUUCAAAUCAUAUGACUACUUUUGAGGAUUCUGGUAAUGUAGGCUGGUGAAUAUCCAGCUGAGCAAGACUGAAUUGGUUUCUUUGUGCAUUUCUAUAGUGAUUUAAUUAUAUGUGUUGUUAGAAGAGCUUAGGAGUUGUGUUGCGCAUUUGAGAGCUUUGCUGACAACGACUAUGGAGAUGGAUCUUGAGGAGCUAGUAGAGGGUGAGAGUAUUUUUCUGAAUGUGUAUCUCAAGAAGUUGAAGUUACAGGACACCAAUUUAGGAAGGCAUUGAGCCGGUCAGAAAGUUUGGAGAUUGUGGUGAUGACAGUUUGCUGAAGUAUGCGGUUCAAGAGAUCUUUAAAAAGGUGGUCUGUUGUUUCUUUGAUGGAAACAGUUGAGAUUUUCCCAUGUACAACUUCUGUACCAAUUCAGUCGAUCAGGAAUGGAUCGGUUGAACAUUCUAUUAGGAAGAGGCUCGGAUGUUCUAUCUAAAAGUUUCAAACAUAGCCACUGAAGUGAGUUUGAUGAUAGCUUCUUGAAAGAGAAGUUGAAGCAAGAAAUUUCUCCACUGAUCUCACUACUAAGCUUGGAAGAUCUUGUGGCUACUUAUUCAGGACUAUAGACUGAUUAGUUUGUUCUCUGACAUGGAACCGUUGGAAAUUAGAUAGCCUCUCUUAUUUUGAAGAUAAGAGAACUGUUCAAUUGGUGUCUAAUGCCAACAUGGCCUUUUCUACUCCUAAGAUUCAGUGGGCACAAAUUUUUCUGUGGUUGAACUUCAACGAUGUAGCAAGAGGCGGUCCAAUACCUCAGAUAAAUUGCAAUAAAGUAAUAUAAAUUUCUUUAAGGCUUGAUUUCCUUGAGCAAUAUGUGUUUUCUUUUUCAUAGUUAUGUGUUGCCAUAGAUUCGUGUGUUAUUACACAUCUGCACACAUCAGCAUUAUAGUUCUUAUACUAGUGUUGUACCUAGUUAAUCAUGUAGUCAAUUCCAUUGCUAGGAAAUAAGUUUUAUCCUUGCUCCUAUAAAUUGUGUCUGUGUAUUACAUUUAUUCACUUAAUACAGUCUUGCUUCAUAUGAUGGUUGAUGUUAAACUCUAGAAGCUUAAUGUGUUAAAAGGUUGCAGUCCCAUUAUGUGUAACGGUUUUCCCCUCUUCAAACAUGAGCUCACGUUACUAGGAUGCAUUGCAAGCAGAUGAACUUAUGUAAUCGAGCAUUUGGUGUCCGUUUCAUAUGAUUCCCAUACUACUUUGGAGCAAUAUCAAGAAGUGUGCAACUUACU